AGAGUUUGAUCCUGGCUCAGAUUGAACGCUGGCGGCAUGCUUUACACAUGCAAGUCGAACGGCAGCACGGGUGCUUGCACCUGGUGGCGAGUGGCGUACGGGUGAGUAAUGCACCGGAACGUACCCAGUAAUGGGGGAUAACACAUCGAAAGAUGUGCUAAUACCGCAUACGCCCUGAGGGGGAAAGCGGGGGAUCGUAAGACCUCGCGUUAUUGGAGCGGCCGGUGCCGGAUUAGCUAGUUGGUGAGGUAAGAGCUCACCAAGGCGACGAUCCGUAGCUGGUCUGAGAGGACGACCAGCCACACUGGGACUGAGACACGGCCCAGACUCCUACGGGAGGCAGCAGUGGGGAAUUUUGGACAAUGGGCGCAAGCCUGAUCCAGCCAUGCCGCGUGAGUGAAGAAGGCCUUCGGGUUGUAAAGCUCUUUCGCAAGGAAAGAAAACUUAUCUACUAA
rnacentral:rRNA from 1 species